rnacentral:rRNA from 1 species
AUUGAACGCUGGCGGCAGGCUUAACACAUGCAAGUAGAACGAGUGGCGGACGGGUGAGUAAUGCUUGGGAAUCUGGCUUAUGGAGGGGGAUAACUACGGGAAACUGUAGCUAAUACCGCGUACCAUAGGAUGAGCCCAAGUGGGAUUAGGUAGUUGGUGAGGUAAAGGCUCACCAAGCCGUAGAGACCUAGCUGGUCUGAGAGGAUGACCAUGCACAUUGGGAAGGAGCCACGGCCAAGACUCCUACGGGAGGCAGAAGGGGGGAAUAUUGCGCAAUGGGGGCAACCUGACGCAGCCAUGCCGCGUGAAUGAAGAAGGCCUUCGGGUUGUAAAGUUCUUUCGGUAGCGAGGCGUUAACUACAGAAGAAGCACCGGCUAACUCCGUGCCAGCAGCCGCGGUAAUAC